rnacentral:lncRNA from 1 species
AGAGUACUCCAAAUAGGACAGGACAGUUGUGUUUUUAUAAAUGCAAAUGUGGUAUCUGAAUCCAGAAGAUAUAGCACCAAAGACAUAGCUUAUCCUGACUCCAAGGAAACGCCAAGGCAAUUGCUCUUUGCUUCUGGAAGUAGCUCUCAAGGCGUGGUCUUAAGCACUACCAGGGAGUCACCAGGACAGAAUCAAAAGACUUACUGCUUUUUCAAGUUCAAGCUGAGAAGUGAUAUCUACAUCUUCCUUGAAGCACUCAUUAAAUGCUCCAAGACCAAAGGACAAACCAUUCCUUUGAUGGGCUCUUCCUUUACUCAUCUGGUCAGCUUGUUUAGCGGCAGUUGUGUCAAAUCAACAAGGAGUUUUUGGUGGAAGAAAGCUUUCAGUGAUGAAAUCUUCCUGAUUCAUCCCAAUGAUGGAGGAAAGGAAAAUGCUCAGGCAUGAGGAUGGCUCUUUCCAUGGAGAACUGAUCUGAAAAACAGCUCUGGAGGUGGCAGGUAGCAGCACCACCAGUCUGCACUGUACUGGACUUCAAGGCACUCUCUGGCCUUGAAAAAAGAAAGCAUGCAGCUUAUGUACAAGGUGUAAGGAAUGUUGCUUGGAAAAGCUGCUAAUGAUUUGUCUACCAGUAUUAUAUUGAAGUUGUCAGGUCAUCUCAGAGCACAAUGUUACUUCUUCCUAGCACUUGGGAAUAAAAUUCACCACAGGGAAAAGAAUACCUCA